GGCGUGGGCAGGCUGUGGUGGCAUGGCGGCCGCCGCCGGAGCGGGCCGAGGGGCCGGGGCCGACUUGGCGGACGCCUGCCCCGGCGCGGACAGCGGGAACGUCUCCCAGAGCCACAGCAGCGCUUCCGGCCUCGGGGAACCGGAGGACGAGGACGCUUUGGAGGCGUCGCUCAGCGCCACCGCCGCCGCCUAUUCCGCCUACCUGCUCGCCGACCGCAGCCUCUUCAGCGAGCAGAUAGAAAGCCUGGACAAGAGUCUAGAAGAUUUGCUGACCAGAGUGGAUGAAUUUGUGGGAAUGCUGGACAUGAUUCGAAGUGAUUCUUCUCAAGUUGUCAAUGAAAGCAUACCUCAGAUUUACACAAAAGCUACAGAAAUGAGACAGAUAUACAGGAAGAUUGACAAACUAGAGGCUUUUGUGAAGAUGAUUGGAAAUAGCGUAGCUGGACUAGAAGAACGGGUCAUAAAGGCAGAAACAGACCUUGGAGCUUUUCCGAGCACAUUCAAGAAAAUCUUGCACACAAUCAGCAUGCCAUCCUUCCUUAAUAAACCGUCGUCUUCACGACAACAACAGACCCUCUAUGAACCUCCAGUCCUCUUCAAGACUGAAGACUAUUUUCCGUGUCUUAACGAAGCACCUUAUUGAUGAUUUUUGCUUUGGGAUUGAUAUGAAUCAGCCAGAGUAGAGACUGCCAAGUGAACAAAAGAAAUGCUAACCUCAAAAGAGCUGCAUUUCUGAGCAUUGUUGAUGGCAUAUUGCCAUUCUGAUUCUCAUUGUCUUCCUUCAGGCAGUAUUUUCAGGAACUGUUUCCAAAUACUAAGAUCUUGAGCUGUAGAGUGAUCCUGAGUGAAACACCUUCCAGAAUGAGAAAGAUAGCUUGCAUCUACAUCUAUGAAGAGAACUUUACAUUUGAAAAUGGUGACACUGUCAGGAUUUUCUUCAUGAGCAAGUGGUCUAGAAAACAACCUUUAAAAAAAGAAAAAGCAAUAGCUGAAAUUCCCGCAAUCCUAGGACUUUAAAACUGAGAGCUGGCACUAAGUAUGAUAGGAGCAUCUGAAAUGUUUCUCUGAACUUCAAUCAAUCUAAAAGGUUUGCAGAGAACUGCAAACUGCCAGAAAAGCUGGUUCAGGAAGAAGUUAAAGUCAAUGACUACUCUGCAGUGAGAGUCUCCUGUUUUCAGUGUGAGGGCUUUGUGGAUGUGGCCAGCCGAUAGCAGCACAGUGCUGAGAAAGGAGGAAUAGCCUUGCUUUUGUACUCUUGUUCUUUUCAGCUCAGUUCUUUUCAUUUUCUUCAGCAUCUGAGAGUUAUGGUCAAACUAGAAAGCAGAGAUGAAUAUCUCCUCUUGCAAGAAAAACUAACAUCUGCAACUGUGUUGAAGUUGAAUUUUUGUGACCUGCUAUGCAGCCUGGAUUACUUUACAGGCGAAAUGGCAGUAUCAGAUUGGGUCCCACAAGCAAAGCCUGGCAAAACUGGAACAGGAGGAACAUUCUCAAAUAUUCUACCAUCAUUUUUGCCCCGUUUUCCUUUUACCUCAAUAUGCAGCUUUUUAGUGGAUUGAUAGUCUGGUGCAUAAUCUUAUGGUUCUUGUCACCAUAUAUGAUGUUAUUCAUGUGUGAUGUAUUUAUAUUCAUAUGAAUACUGUUGGUCCUUAGGGUCACUUGUUAAAAGUCUCUGGGGAGAACAGAUUUGUUACAUUUAGUAUUGCUCACAAAGUUUUUGUAUGCGUGGUUUGACUUGUGGAGAAACUUGUUGUGUUUAAAAGAAGGCUGGGAAGCAUACAGAACUCCUUGGCAGGGCUUAUGUAUGACAGUGUUAUCAUAUGUCUGUCCCAGUCUGUGUGGGCGCCUAAUUGUACCUGAUUCAUACCACCUGAUGGAAUGAAUUAACGAUUCAAAACAUUAAUGAUGACAGGCAUUUGCAUGAACUGGACCCAUCAGAGCGUGCACACGUGAAAGUGUUCAUCUCAGGCCUUCUUAAAUGCGUCUGAACCUGGCUGCAAGCAGUUGGGGAUCUGCACAGGCAGCAGCUGGCCAGAUGUUACUUCAUCCCUUGCACUGCUGCUGGAACAGAAAUCUGCAGGCUGAAAUCCGUGAUGCUACUGGGGCCUUCGCAACAGACACACAGCUGGUGCAGAGUCCCGCUGAGGUGGGUUCUCUUGCCAGAUGGAGAUGGGUGCUCAGCUGCGUGGAGGCAGACCUCUGGGAAGACAACGGGUGACCUGGGGUCUGCCUGGGGUUUCUAGCUCUAUCAGAAAGACGUCCUGAGUUUCUACAGAUUUAGCCAUAUAUGGCUGGCUGGUGGAAGGUACUGGAGGAAUAGAGGAGGCUGUCCGCACGUGGCCGUGAAGACUAAGCUGUGUGAGACAACAGGCAGCAGCACAAUCCCAGCUAGGCCUGGAAAUUCACACUGCCGGUUCCAUCACACUGGCCUUGCCGGGUCCACGUGCCCUGAGGCAAUCUGUGGGGCACCGCAGGAGUGCCUGUGGCUACCCAGGGCUGAUCACAAUGUGAACAGCAGGUCGCACAGGGCAGGUUGGGGACAGCAAAGAGAAAUCGCUGGUGGGAAGAGGUGCAGGAAGCUUCCAGAAGAGACAGGAAAACAAAGCAGGGGAAGGAUGUGGGUUUACAUGUGGUGGCACCAGAGGAGGUUAUGAGACUGCGAGCAUUAGGGUCAGUCACAUCGAGGGAAAGAGGAGCGGUUGAUGCAGAUGGGUGAAAUGGAUUUCCUUUGUUGGGAGAAAAGGGAAGAGAAGGUAGAAGAUGUUUUGUCAUCUGAAUGCCACAUACUCGUUUGACACCAAAAUUUUAGCCACAGAUUUUCAGGAUGCAGAUGAAAGCUCUGCUGCAGAUGAAUUAUCUCGACCUCCCUGAUUGUAAUGAUUCAAGCACUUCCUUUCAAAUUGCAUUUUUCCUUCUUAUGUGCUCUAUAACCUAUUUCCAGAAAGAAUAUUUAUUACACCAGUCUUUACUAGUUAAGUGUUAUUUUUUCCAGCCAGCUGUUUUUGUUCUGUUUCCCUUUGAGCAGAAAGAUGGAACAAUUAAAAAUGAGUCAAUCCACAUUGUACUUUUUUUGCAUCUUUUCCAGAAAUGUUUAGUAGGUGUUGCUAUAGGAGGCAGAAUGCUGGACUCAGAUCUGAUUGUGUCAGGGCAUUUCUGUUUCUGUAAGAUAGUUUCCAAUGCCCACUGUUGGAUAAUACCAGUGUCAUCUCUGUGUAAAGGAAUCAUGCAGUAAUUAAACAAGCGUGCAUUUGGAGGUGCUCUGAUACAUCAUAAAGCAAAUGGGAAAUCCCGUUUGUUUCCACUCAGGUUCCGGUAUGUUUGAUACUACCUGAAACUGGUAAAAGGAUAUUAGUGAUUUACAGUAUGCAAAUUUCCCUAGCAGUGGCUUUUAUUUAAUUGCUUUCAUUAUUUUCAAAGACUCGAUUACAUUCUUAAUUACUAGCGUACAUACUUCCUCCAAAUUUCCAUCUGAUAAGAUCAGCAAUAUUUGUUAGGGUGGAAACUUCAGCAGGUAAUGUUAACAUGCUAAAAAAGCCCAUCUCCCCCCUUCCUCUUUGUUUUUGUGUAUCUCAGCUUACAUUGCUUUCCAGUCUCUGAUGAGUCAUUGCAUUUACUUUGCACUGAUACUUUACACAUUUCAUGCCUGAGCAGUGAGUUUGAUUUCCUUGUUUUCUGAUCAGAAAAAGCACCAUAUUUUUCCUGUAGGUUAACACUAGAUUUUUGCCAGAUCAGAGAAACCCUCUUUUCCAAGUUAUGAUUGCACAGGAUGUUGUGAAAAUGGCAUGCAGGUGUCUCUGGUCACUUCUGAAGAUCUUGAUGCUGUUUUCUUAGUAGCAGUCCAGGUCCUGAGGGGAUGUUGCUUUAUAAUGCAGCUGAAUUUUAUAAAGAUCUAAAACAUAAACAGUAUAAAAUAUAACCAUCAACUAUAAGGAUAUAAAUGAACAUUUCAAAUACCAGAGACUCCCAACUACGCAAAUUUAAAUUCCCUUCAACUCCUUGUCACAGCCGUAGGGUGGCACGGGGUAUUGCUGAGCACUGAUGCAUGUCCUCGGAGUAGUACAACCCAGUAUUUCAAGUUUAGCAGAGCAUUUUUGGAGGCUAGGGUUCACAGACCGGUCCAUGGUUUGUUCACUCCUGUAAGCAAAUAAAACAGCGGCUUUCGCCUCCAGAUAAAGGGCUCUGAUAGUACCAGCUCCAGCUCUCCACCCUGCUCCUCAGCCAACUACUGCCACCCACGGCAGAGGGAGUGGGAAGAGAUUUCCUCCUGCAUCUUCUCUGACCUCUUCUUGCUGCUCUGCUGCCUGCCUUGGUACCGGCGAAGGGAAGCGUCAGGCAGCUGUGAAGAUGAGUGGGAUCUCACGCCCUGCAGUUUCCUUCUCUGGGUGGUGAUCGGUUGCCCCCAUACCUCUUCUUAGUGAUCCCAUCAGCUAUUAGAUAGUGACACCCCCUCGGCCUCUGUUUCAGCCUUGCCAGUGAAACAGCCUCAGGAGGAGCAGCGUAUUGGUGAAGGGAUGUUGGCUUUCCCCACCUGCUGCUGCUACUUGUUUAAAAAGGAAAAAAAAAAACCCCUACAUCUUUUUAUUUCUGAGUUUUCUUUUCUCGUCUUGGAGCUCAGCCUCCAGAGGUAGAUAAAGGAUAAUUAAAACCCGCUGAGCCAGCAGACUUGGCACAAAAGCAAGUAGAAUCUCAAAAUUUUGAAAAGCGUUGUAAAAAAAUGGGAAGCAGUAACCUCAGAUGAUUUUUUGUGAUGAUGAAAGGAUGAAAGUUGGAAACACGUAACUGAAUGAACAUUUGGAGAGAUGCAGCACUUCUGAAGUUAAAUCAAAGUAUUGUGUUUGCCGUAGUUGAAGUAGUUAAUAUUUGCCAGAUUAGCUUGAGGUGUUUUGAUCUAGUGUGAAGACAACAGUGGCACAGUGUGCUUGCACAGAUAAAAUGAGGCAUACGCACAUCCAACUUUUUUUACAGAAAUACACCAUCAGCACAGUUCCUCUGUAACCUGCAAAAUCUUAUGCUGCAUUUUACUAAUACCUUCUACAGAUUAUGUUGUAACAGUGCAGAAAGUGAUUUAUUUUAGACAUAAAACAUAGUUAUACUUCGAACUGCCUUAUCACUUGCCUGUUUCAACUUUAUGUACAGUAACUAGGUAAAAAUUUAACAAGUAUUAAGCUGUAUGAAUUAACCUCAUGGGCUAUGCCCACUGUGGCAGCAGAAUUAUUUGUCAGCAGAAUUUAUUUUCACAGCCUACUCUUAUCAGAAGACAGCCGCGAUUACUAAGCUAAAUUGGUAUGUAAAACCAUAUGGUGUUUUGGAGCUGCUUGGUUACUGUGGAGGAUAAAUAGCUCCUGACCCUAAACAGGAUCUUUUUAAGAAAAAAAAGCGGUGUCCCUAUGCCUUAUAAGGCAUGGGCAGGCUUACUCCAGUGCUGAAGAAGGGGCGGUAACGGGUUCAUGCUGCUGAGUUUUCUCCGGCAGCAGUCGCAGGCGACUGAAGAAGUUGAGCUGAAAUUGCAAACGCUUCGUUCCCUGGCACUUAGCGGCAGAAAUCAGUGAAGAGAGAAGGCAGCGGGUGAAAUUAAAAAAAACCAAA